rfam:Cicer arietinum chromosome Ca3, whole genome shotgun sequence.
UUGAAGGCGGUGAUGCUUCAAUACUACCUAUUUUAUGACCGAAUGGCAAAUUUUCAUUCGUAAUUAUAAAAUUACCAAUGGAUCCUUCUGAGCCUUCA